AUGGGGAAAAUUAACAAAAGAGAGAAAGAAGAAAUAAUGAAUGAAAAUAAAAAAGUGGUCGCAUUAUU
rnacentral:ribozyme from 14 species